CCUACGGGUCGCAGCAGUGGGGAAUAUUGGACAAUGGGCGGAAGCCUGAUCCAGCCAUGCCGCGUGUGUGAAGAAGGCCUUCGGGUUGUAAAGCACUUUCAGUGGGGAAGAAAGCCUUGGGGCUAAUACCCUCGAGGAAGGACAUCACCCACAGAAGAAGCACCGGCUAACUCCGUGCCAGCAGCCGCGGUAAUACGGAGGGUGCGAGCGUUAAUCGGAAUUACUGGGCGUAAAGCGCGCGUAGGCGGUCUGAUAAGCCGGUUGUGAAAGCCCCGGGCUCAACCUGGGAACGGCAUCCGGAACUGUCAGGCUAGAGUGCAGGAGAGGAAGGUAGAAUUCCCGGUGUAGCGGUGAAAUGCGUAGAGAUCGGGAGGAAUACCAGUGGCGAAGGCGGCCUUCUGGACUGACACUGACGCUGAGGUGCGAAAGCGUGGGUAGCAAACAGGAUUAGAUACCCUAGUAGUC
rnacentral:rRNA from 1 species